AACGAACGCUGGCGGCAUGCCUAACACAUGCAAGUCGAACGAGACCUUCGGGUCUAGUGGCGCACGGGUGCGUAACGCGUGGGAAUCUGCCCUUGGAUGCGGAAUAACAGUUAGAAAUGACUGCUAAUACCGCAUAAUGACUCCGGUCCAAAGAUUUAUCGCCCAAGGAUGAGCCCGCGUCGGAUUAGCUAGUUGGUGAGGUAAAAGCUCACCAAGGCGACGAUCCGUAGCUGGUCUGAGAGGAUGAUCAGCCACACUGGGACUGAGACACGGCCCAGACUCCUACGGGAGGCAGCAGUGGGGAAUAUUGGACAAUGGGCGAAAGCCUGAUCCAGCAAUGCCGCGUGAGUGAUGAAGGCCUUAGGGUUGUAAAGCUCUUUUACCCGGGAUGAUAAUGACAGUACCGGGAGAAUAAGCCCCGGCUAACUCCGUGCCAGCAGCCGCCGUAUAC
rnacentral:rRNA from 1 species